UAGGAGAAAGAAUGAAAGGAACAAAAGAUUUUUUUUGGUUUUUU
rnacentral:sRNA from 1 species